rnacentral:tRNA from 1 species
CAGAGGUAGUUUAAAAAAAUAUAGGCUUUGGGUGUCUAAGAUGUUAGAGGGUCUAAUUCUUUGA